rnacentral:rRNA from 2 species
ACUCCUACGGGAGGCAGCAGUGGGGAAUAUUGGACAAUGGGCGCAAGCCUGAUCCAGCCAUGCCGCGUGUGUGAAGAAGGCCUUUUGGUUGUAAAGCACUUUAAGCGAGGAGGAGGCUACUUGGAUUAAUACUCUAGGAUAGUGGACGUUACUCGCAGAAUAAGCACCGGCUAACUCUGUGCCAGCAGCCGCGGUAAU